UACGUAGGGGGCAAGCGUUGUCCGGAAUCAUUGGGCGUAAAGAGCGUGUAGGCGGCUCGGUAAGUCCGCUGUGAAAGUCCAGGGCUCAACCCUGGAAUGCCGGUGGAAACUGUCGAGCUAGAGUCCGGAAGAGGCGAGUGGAAUUCCUGGUGUAGCGGUGAAAUGCGCAGAUAUCAGGAAGAACACCCGUGGCGAAGGCGGCUUUCUGGGACGGUACUGACGCUGAGACGCGAAAGCGUGGGGAGCGAACAGG
rnacentral:rRNA from 1 species